UACGGGGGGAGCAAGCGUUGUUCGGAUUUACUGGGCGUAAAGGGCGCGUAGGCGGCCACCGCAAGUCGACUGUGAAAUCUCCGGGCUUAACCCGGAAAGGUCAGCCGAUACUGCGGGGCUAGAGUGCAGGAAGGGCAACUGGAAUUCUCGGUGUAGCGGUGAAAUGCGUAGAUAUCGAGAGGAACACCUGCGGCGAAGGCGGGUUGCUGGGCUGACACUGACGCUGAGGCGCGAAAGCUAGGGGAGCGAACGGG
rnacentral:rRNA from 1 species